CCGAGAGUGCAGCAUUCUCCCUACAGAGAGAAGCUGAUCACACCUGGACUAGUGAAGACUGGAGCAGUGGGUGUGGAGGAGAAGGAAGGAAGACGAAGAGAAAGAAGAACUGAGGGGCUCGAAACCCCCAUCUGAGGUAUAAGCUGCUUGUAACAUCUGCAAAAGUGCAGAUGAAGCGGCUUCCGCAUCUCUGUGAUGUGUGGCAGUGGCUCUCAUGCUAGUCCCUGCACAGACUAGCCCGGCCGCUCUCAUGCUCCCUGCAAGGCACACCUGAUGCUCCCUUCUCAGGUGAAAUGGCUGAGUCUACUCCCGUUGUGCCUGAUUCAUGAAUUCCCUGAUUUGUUUAAUCAGCUCUCAUGGAAUCCACUACUGCCCUUGGGUGUGGGCAAGCACAUGCAGUGGAGCUUGGGACACUAGCGUUGGAAUUGCUGAAUAGCUGUGCCUCUGAAGACAGACUCCUAACAAGAGUGGGCAUGUAGCCUGAACUGGCAUUGGCAACGACUCCCAUUGUCAUCAUCAGAGAGCCUUCAUCCAGUAACUGGUGGAAACAGAUGCAGAGACCCACAGCCAAACCUUAGGCCCAGCUCAGAGGACCUUGUCUGAUGCAAGUACCGCAUGCUACAGGGACCAUUUUUCCUGAAAUAAAUAUAUACUCCUCUUCUGGCCUGAAGCAUAAAACAGAAGAAUAAUAAUCAUUUGGCUACUGGACAUUUCCUCAACAGCUAAACAAACCAAGGUGAGAAAAUCGGGAACCUAGUAUUAACUCAGUCUUUGCAAUAUGUAUAGAAUCUACUUAGAAUUAAUUAACUACACAGGGAGAUCGAUAAAACUGGGGCCACACUCAGAAAGACAAGUCUCAAGUGUGCGUCUGUGAAAUCUACAGGGAAAUAAAAGAUUGCAAAUAUGAAUACAGGAAAGGGUCUGUCAGGGGAGCAUAAGGGUUUGUUGGCAGUGUGGAAGGGGGUUUAUCAAUCUUCAGUGGCAGCAGGAGAUACUGUUCCACACAGAUGGCUGUAGUAGCCUGAAUGGACCUCAACUUGGGUGGAUUUUAACUGGAGAUAGUCUUGAUUUCCACUGCAGAGAAAAAAAAUAAUUCAGGAUAAGUCAAUACCAGGCAAAUUUGGAUUUUUUUUUUAAAAAAUAUUAAUUUAAGCAUGGGUGUUGGGGUGAAGAUAGGGCUUAAUUAUAGCAGUGAUACACUCCCUGAGGUAGGCAUGGCCUGACAAAAGAGGUAUGUUGUCUCUACAACACUUACAUGAUUUUUUUUUAAAAAAAGGUUGACUUACAUAUUUAUAUUUUAAGUGUAUGCAUGUUUUGCCUUCAUGUAUGUCUCUGCACCAUAUGCAUGAAGGUCUAGAGGAGGCCAAAAGAGGUCAUCAGAUCCACUGGAACUGGAGUUGCAGAUGGUUGGGAGCUGCCAUGUGGGUGCUGGGAACUGAACCUGGGUCCUCCGUAAGAGCAGCCAAAGCUCUUAACUUCCUAGCCAUCUCUCCAUCUUACAUAG